rnacentral:rRNA from 1 species
GCCAGCUGCCAUAUCACUCUGGAACUCACAACUGCAACUGACUGAAGCUAAGCAGAUGUGAGCCUGGUCAGUACCUGAAUGGGAGACUCCUGGGAAAAACUAAGGUUGCUGCUAGAA